UCUUUAUUCAGAGGUUAGUUCUCUAACUGGUCUUUAUUCAGAGGGGUGUACAGAUAAGCUGGUUUUCCUUCUUAAACAAAAUAUAUUUUAUCUAUUAAUUUUUGGCCUCGUUGUUCUUUUUAUCGAAUUUGUUGGAAUGGUUCUCUCACUUUUUCUCUGCACUACUAUAAGGAAAUC